UCACCAACAAAAGAGUUGUACCAGGAUACUUGUAGAAAUUUAAAUCAGCAGAGGGGCUGGAUGACAGCCAGGAGAUGUGCCAAAUAGGUCAACUUGUAAUGAGAGAGAAAAACCACUGAUUUUUUUAAAAAUUAGAACAGAUACAUCAAGAGAAGAAUAAUCCGCUAAUUAAGCCACCAACCUGUCUUGCUGAUGAUGAGCAUGAGCCAAUUCAGAGGUUUUAUUCCUUCCAUGUCGAUCUCUGGGCGAGGCCAGAGCUGCAGAGCUGAGGAAGAGGCAGCCCUGCAGCCCUGAGGGAAGGCAGCGUGCGGAGCGUAGGGGAGGGUGGCAGUCAAAGGCAGCGCCAGCUGCAAGCCUUCUGUGACAGUCUGCGGAUCAGGCUCUGGGCCCCAGGGCCACCAAGGAGGUAGUUUUCCCACUGGCUCCGGAGGUAAUAAAGGAAGGAGGUCAUUCCAGGCUGAGGACACGGCAGAUGCAAGGCGCUGAGGUGCUGAGCCAGCAUAUCAAGUUCUGAGACCUUGAUUCGGAAGGAGAAUCAAGUUCUGGUACUGCUGCCCCUCCCACCCGCCUUGCUCCGCAAACACCAACCUCUUCACUCAACGGCUGUGAAAUUAGACCAUGUCAUCAGGCUAAAUAGGAAAUUGAAUAAUUUAUGCAAAAUGAAAUUCCCACGAAAGGAGGCCUGUUCUUCUAAUGAUUAAGCUUAGCAUCACCAGUGGGCAGCCAGUGAUUGCUCGAGGGAUGGACAGUCCAACGUCGGGAGACUUCAGUCACAAAUCGGACACUUACUGAAUGUGCUUCCUGCCGGUUAUUUAAUGGCUCCAUUUUUCAACUCGUUCGCUUGUAAAAUAACCGUGUUGAACUAGAAUCUGAAUUUUAGACUUGGAAUUGCCCUAAAAUGAAGGGGAGAGGAAGUACCUAUUAUGGACAAGAACGUAAUAGACAGGUGUUAAUCACCUUUAUUCCACAUAGGAAGAAACAUACCUAAAAGGGUAAGAACAUUGACAAGGUGGUGACUGAGCUAGGAUUCAGGCCUCUGCCGUCUGACUCCUUCUCUUUAGGAUUUUGUAGGUUGGGGAAGUGAGGUGUCAGUGGGCUGAAUGAUUUGUGCAGGGUACGUAGCACGUUGGCAGGUUGGCAAGUUAGCAAGUUAUCAAGGUAGAGUUGAGGCCAGAACCCAGAUUUAUUGAUGCCAAUCAUGUUUUUACUUUUUCUCCCUUUUAAAUGUGGGUGCAGAUUCAAAUUAUGUGUAGUCCUCAAUUUAUUGUUGACUAACAUCCAUUAAACCAUUAUUGCUACCAUCUUGGUUUAUUAUAUUUUUCCGUUUCAUUUUCCACCCUCUCUG
rnacentral:lncRNA from 1 species